CUCGGGCCUCUUUCCACCUAAUCUAUCACUUUUAACUGGAUGAGAAAAAAAAGAAAAAGAAACUCUCAGUUCCCCUCAAGAUGAAAAACCAAACCCUAAAAUCCCAAACACCCAAAUCUAGCUAGCUAUGUCUUCUAUCUUCUCAAGUUGUCAGUGCAGAUUUGUAUUUAUGAUUGGCAGUAGCUCUAGCCUCAAAUCGAUGCCUAGCACAGCCACCAUUCCCUCAAACUUUAGCGAGAAACCCCAACGUUAUCUCCACAGCUCUCUUCUGUCUUGCACUGGUGAAAUUUGUAUCUCUCUUUCCUUGUAUCUUUCAUUGGUUUGAUUUCGAUGGCUUUUAAUUAAUGGUUUAAGUUUGACUCAAAUGAAUUUUGGGUAUCAUUUGGUUUAAUUUUGUUUUGUUGUGAAUGCAAUUUGCUUAGAGUUUGUCAGAUUGCAUUUGAAUUUCAAGAUUUUUGAUUUUUCUUUAUUGUAGUACCACACUAUCUACUCUUUCUCAGCCUCUCAAGCUUCAAUCUUUUGGAUGCCAACCUUGUGUUUCAUUCAUAUAACAUAUGUUUGAAAUUGUUCUUUUUGGCUCCAUUGCAGGUGGAGUUGUUCAAGCGGUGCCGAUUUGAAGUACCAUAAGUAUUUUCUAGAGCUCUGAGAGGACUGGAUCUGCAUACUGGCUUUUUUCAUGUUGAGGCAAAUUAAAGCUGCCCCUAAUAACUUUGAUCCUGUAAACAAAAUUGGGCAUAUUAUUGGAUGGCACUACAAUUGCAGGCAACUCUUUUCAAAAUCAAAGCGAGGAAAUCGUGGGUUUGUGAAUGAAGUAGCUAGCAUGAUAUCUGGUUUACAACAUCCAAAUGUGGUUAGGUUAUAUAGUUGCUGCAUUGAAGGAAAUUAAAUACUGUUGGUAUAUGAUUACAUGGAAAAUAACAGCCAUGCACAUUCUUUGUCUGGUAAGCAUAUCUGAUCUACAAAGAAAAAAAAGACACUAAAAAUGAUUUAUCAAGCAAUUUAAUUGAUUGGAAAUCUAUGUUACUUGCAUAU